rnacentral:rRNA from 1 species
AGGGAUUGCCUCAGUAACGGCGAGUGAAGCGGCAACAGCUCAAAUUUGAAAUCUGGCUCCUUCGGGGCCCGAGUUGUAAUUUGCAGAGGAUGCGUCGGGUGCGGGUUCCUUCCGAGUUCCCAUGGAACGGGACGCCAUAGAGGGUGAGAGCCCCGUCUGGUAGGACACCCAGCCCGUGUGACGCUCCCUCGACGAGUCGAGUAGUUUGGGAAUGCUGCUCUAACGGGAGGUAUACUCCUUCCAAGGCUAAAUACCGGCUGGAGACCGAUAGCGCACAAGUAGAGUGAUCGAAAGAUGAAAAGCACUUUGAAAAGAGAGUCAAACAGCACGUGAAAUUGUUAAAAGGGAAGCGCUCGCUACCAGACUUGGGUUCGGCGGUUCAACCGGGGCCAUGCCCCGGGGCACUCCGUCGGCCCAGGCCAGCAUCAGCUUUCCGUCGGGGGCAAAGGCGUCGGGAAUGUGGCUCCCCCUCGGGGGAGUGUUAUAGCCCGGCGCGUCAUACCCUUCGGGGGGCUGAGGUACGCGCUUCUGCAAGGAUGCUGGCGUAAUGGUAGCUAGUGACCCGUCUUGAAACACGGACCAAA